rnacentral:misc_RNA from 1 species
AUGGCUGGAUGUACCUUGGAGGAGUGCUUGAAGCAAUUCAUUGCUGCUGAACAAGUUGAGAAUUACAACUGCGGCCAUUGUUGGCACAUUGCUGCAAUGAAGUAUUUAUCUUUGAAAGGAGCAAAAGAGGUGACUCCCUAUUUAUAUAACCUAGAUUCUUCUCAAUUAUUGAGAGUUAGCCGGUUGGCAUCUGAGGAGCAGACCAGGGCCAUGUUGAAGAGAUCCCUGUUGUAUGCUUCUUAUUUUUCCUGACCCUUAUUUCAUCUUACUUUAAUUUUCAACCAACUUGUCUCCUUUUUUGUUGCCUAGUCUAGUUCGUCAAUUUUUUCGACCCUUAAUUCUUAUUCUUUUACCUUUUUUUUUUUUAUUGACAUGGUCUACUUCUACAUUGGGCUUAGUCUGGUUCUACAAUUGUUUGGACCUAUUUUUGGGA